GUUGAGCUCGGGUUUUCUGCUGUCCCUCGCGAGAACCUUUUUUUCGAGCCCUCCUUGUCGACCGUCUGGCCUUGCCUCUCUUUCUCGCGUCCCGUCGAUCGAGAAACUCCUCCUCUGGUACACGUGAACCUGCUGUUUCUUUUUUCUCUUUUCCUCGUCGUUUUGUGAUCUCCGGAGACGUGCACGCGGACGUAGCCGUGGGAGGUGAUUGUUCUCGCGUGUGCUUCACGGAAACUUGCGUGUUCCACCGGCAGUGCGUGCGGCAGAAGGAUCUAAGCUCGUGUGCUCCCUGUCUCGUGCGAUCUCGAGGGAUACUGGAAGAUGCUGUGUCCUGCUUAGGGAUGUUCGUGGUCAUGGCGAACGGAGACUCGUGACGGAGGUUCCUUCGUGGGAGAGAUAGGUCGAAGAUUCCCCAACAAGACCUAAGUGGGUUUGCCUUUGCAGUGCCUAGACAAAAGUGGGGAAGAACUGUAUAGGCCCUCUUUAAAAUUCCUACUCGGGAUGUUACGCGCCGGUGCAGCAGAGCUAGAAGAAAGUGACGUAGAAGAAGGAUUAUUUGGAAUCCUCGGCGGACCAGCUAAGGAGAGAUAAGGACCCGGCUGUUCUCUAAGAGAUCCGCCUCUCGCAGUUAGGCGAGCCGAUGACCUCCUCCUCGCCGGCAGUCUCACACUCACCUUCGACGCGUCGACUCGAUCGAAGUACCGCCGUCUCCCUUCAGGAACUCUGAGGGGUCAGC